CACGUAGUUAGCCGUCCCUUUCUGGUAAGAUACCGUCACAAUGUGAACUUUCCACUCUCACACUCGUUCUUCUCUUACAACAGAGCUUUACGAUCCGAAAACCUUCUUCACUCACGCGGCGUUGCUCGGUCAGACUUCCGUCCAUUGCCGAAGAUUCCCUACUGCUGCCUCCCGUAGGAGUCUGGGCCGUGUCUCAGUCCCAGUGUAGCCGAUCACCCUCUCAGGUCGGCUAUGUAUCGUUGCCUUGGUGAGCCGUUACCUCACCAACUAGCUAAUACAACGCAGGUCCAUCUGGUAGUGGUGCAUUUGCACCUUUCAAGCAGCUAUCAUGCGAUAUCUACUGUUAUGCGUAUUAGCUAUCGUUUACCAAUAGUUACUCCCCCGCUACCAGGCAGGUUACCUACGCGUUACUCACCCGUUCGCAACUUCAUACCGGAAAGACGACAAGCCUUACCUUCCUUCAGUCGUUUCUACUUGCAUGUAUUAGGCCACGUCC
rnacentral:rRNA from 1 species